CAAACCAAAGCUGGCGACCGGCGCACGGGUGAGUAACACGUAUCCAACCUGCCUCAUACUCGGGGAUAGCCUUUCGAAAGAAAGAUUAAUAUCCGAUAGCAUAUAUUUCCCGCAUGGGUUUUAUAUUAAAGAAAUUCGGUAUGAGAUGGGGAUGCGUUCCAUUAGUUUGUUGGGGGGUAACGGCCCACCUAGUCAACGAUGGAUAGGGGUUCUGAGAGGAAGGUCCCCCACAUUGGAACUGAGGCACGGUCCAA
rnacentral:rRNA from 1 species